ensembl:lncRNA
AUGAUGCAAACACGGCUCAGCCAGCAGGAUGCAAACAUUGUUCAAGGGAGGGAGCACAAGACCCCAGAGCUUGGCUGCUUGGGACACAGUUGUGAGCCUCCAUUCUGUAAAGAAUCUUGGAGAGAAAGACCUUGCAAAGAAAGAGGAACAGCAUCCGCUAUGCCCGAUGCACUCAGCAUGCAGGUUAAGAAGCAUUUCCAAAUGAUCCGUAGAAAUGAUUGCUUUCCUGUGUUGAGGUUUCAGUGAGUGCAGAGAAGAGGAAAGACCCACUAAGCCGGUAACACAUCACUAUGUUUGUCACAUUACACACAGAUAAGAGCAAAGUUUCAUACAUUAAUUCAACUGGCUAUUUGUCACAAUUUUCCACUGCUGUAUGCCACCGUGAAACAAACCAUUGAGGUUACAGUCUUGUUUUGAUCCUAGCUGUCUGAACUCUGUCCUACCUCUUCAUUUCCACGGGCGAGUAAGAACCACACAGUAUUUUCUGCUUUCGUUGGAGGACUCAAAACUGUCAUCGAGAAAAUUAGUAAUGCAGUAAAUAAUACAAUACCAGUUACAAUGGAUUGAAGUCAUUGCAUGGUUCGUUCUGCCAAAGGCUACAUUUAUAUUAUAGGCCGCAUGAUAACUUUUGCCUAAAUCUUCAAACACCUUGAGAAGAUUCCAGAAUAUUUGACUCCUAGGUCAAGGGUGGGUCCCUUGCUCAAAACAGUCUGGAGACUCCUUUUGGGUGCCCCUCAGAGUCCUCGCAGCCUCUGGGUCUGUGGUAUGCUCACCUCCGUCUGAGGCACUGUCUUUGGCUCAUUCGUACUGAGAGCUGGUGAUUAAUCUGGGGAAUGUUGACUCUGAUAAAAACAACAACAUUGAAGUGUGAUUCUAAAGUCAUGCGCCUGCCCAUCUUGUGUAAUGAAUUAAAUCUGAAAACAUUUCCAAAAGAGGAAUUUCCUGAUUCCUUUUCAGUACAUUUUUAAAUUUUUAAACCGUGUGACUGUAUUACUCAGCCAUUUAAAAAAUUAAUGUAAAACCAAAACAAGUACAUUUUUUGGAUUAUAUAUAAAUAGAUCUCUCACACACACACACACACACACACACACACACACGGGACUUUACAUGAUUGCAGGGGAAACCCACUUCAGAAUGCAAAAUGUCUAGUAUGCUUAUUAUUUUUAUUAUUUGAGACAGAGUUUCAUUCUGUUACUCAGGCUGGAGUGCAGUGGCACAAUCUCGGCUCACUGCCACCUUCACCUCCCGGCUUCAAGCGAUUCUCCUGCCUCAGCUUCCUGAGUAGCUGGGAUUACAGGCGUGUAUCACCACGCCUGGCUAAUUUCUGUAUUUUUGGCAGAGACGGUGUUUCACUAUGUUGGCCAGGUUGGUCUUGAACUCCUGACCUCAGGUGAUCCACCAGCCUCGACCUCCCAAAGUGCUGGGAUUACAGGUGUGAGCCACCACGCCUGGCCCUUGUUAUUAUUUUUGACAACACUCUGUGACUUCAUUGUCCCUGGCCUGGCAUCCCAUUCAGCACAUGCCCAUCCCUGCUGGUGAACAUUAACUCUCACUGCACGGAAAUCGGACUGAGUCCCCACGCUGUCCUGAGCACUUUGCGCCACAGUGCGAGUCAGCGAUCACGCUCCGUUCCUGACAGUUGUGUCUCCACCGUCACAGGUGUUCGGGCCCUCAUAGCGAGUCCAGCGGUUUCUUCCUGCUGCCUCAGCUCGUCUCCCCCACUGACCACAUUCUGUCUGGGCAUGGUGACAGCACGUCCCCCGGGGCCAAUGCGGCCACAGCCUCAUGAGCUGCCCUCAGCGCUCCCGGGGGUUCCUGCUGUGGCAUUCUUCGGUUGCCAUUAUCCGCAUCGUUUCCAGUAGAGCAUUUCCAGUGUUUUCCUUGCUCUUUCCACAGUAUCUCACUCAGCACUGCUGGCCAUUGGAGGCUGCUGUCUGCCUCGCUCAAAGGAGAACCCCAGGGGUGAUUCCACGCCCUGUCGUCACUUCUUAGGGGCGUCAACAAAUGGCCAUCAGGUGACCCUAACUUCAAGGGCCCAGAGUCCCUCCUGUCCAGCAGGAUGUACACAGGCCGCUCUGGUACUGGCAUCCCUGGAUAUCACUCAUUGCCACCUCAAGGGACUGGGUCUUUAUUUUUUUACUUUUGUGAAAAUACAAUGUUAAUACAAUUUGUCACUAUUCUCUAAGGAGCACUUAUUUAUUACGCUGGGAUUUUAUGUUUUACAAAUUUAUUUGUUAUAACGGCGUGCAAUGCCUUAGUUUUAAAACCUUAUUUCCUAGGUCUUUUGAGAGCCGGCUAUAACCUGAGAUUAUUUUCAUAAUGGACUCCUUAUAUAAUGUACUUCUUAAAAGCUAAAUGGUACUUAUCACUUCAUUUUGCAUAUCGAAGGACAUUUUAGCUCAGUAUUAAUAACCCCAUUAUAAUAAAAAUAAUAAUAGUAAGGAUUUAAAAAUCCAUUACAAAUCUCCUUAAACCCAGGUGCACUCAUUAACUCUUAGAUAAAAGAAAUUGAAAUUAAAAAAACCCAGAAGUACUUUAUUUUAUUCUACCUAAUAUAAUGACUUUGAAAGAGUGAGAAGUAGAAGACAAUUCUCUUGACUUCACAUCUCUUGUUGGGGCCAGGCACGGUGGCUUAUGCCUGUAAUCCUAGCACUUUGGGAGGCCGAGGUGGGUGAAUCUCUUGAGGCCAGGAGUUCGAGACCAGCCUGACCAACAUGGUGAAACCUUGUCUCUACAAAAUAAAAAAAGUGGUUGGGUGUGGUGGUGCACACCUGUACUCCCUGAUACUUGGGAGGCUGAGGCACAAGAAUCGCUUGAACUUGGGAGGUUCAAGGCUGCAGUGAGCCAAGAUCAUGCCACUACACUCCAGCCUGGGUGACAGAGCAAGACCCUGUCUCAAAAAAAAAAAAAAAAAAAAAAAAAUGUAGUGCUCAGUUUGCUAGGCUUGCCAGUUAAAAUUGGCUGUUAGAUUGAAAAACAAAAGCAAACAAGCACUCCUACUAUCUUGCUGAGUUAUUUUAUUUUAUUCCAUUUUAUUUUAUUUUGUUUUAUUUUAUUUUUGAGAUGGAGUUUUGCUCUUUUGC